AUACUUAUCUGGCAGGGGAGAUAACAUGAUCGUGAAGGUGGUUUCCCCAGGGCGAGGCUCACCCAUUGCACUCUGGGUGUGCUGAUCCCUGUGAUUUUCCCAAAUGUGGAAAGCUCAAAUGCAUAAUUUGUGGUAGUGGGGGACUGCAUUUGCGCUCA